rnacentral:rRNA from 1 species
GUGGGGAAUCUUGCGCAAUGGGCGAAAGCCUGACGCAGCCAUGCCGCGUGAAUGAUGAAGGUCUUAGGAUUGUAAAAUUCUUUCACCGGGGACGAUAAUGACGGUACCCGGAGAAGAAGCCCCGGCUAACUUCGUGCCAGCAGCCGCGGUAAUACGAAGGGGGCUAGCGUUGCUCGGAAUUACUGGGCGUAAAGGGCGCGUAGGCGGACAGUUUAGUCAGAGGUGAAAGCCCAGGGCUCAACCUUGGAAUUGCCUUUGAUACUGGCUGUCUUGAGUACGGGGGAGGUGAGUGGAACUCCGAGUGUAGAGGUGAAAUUCGUAGAUAUUCUGAAGAACACCAGUGGCGAAGGCGACUCACUGGCCCGUUACUGACGCUGAGGCGCGAAAGCGUGGGGAGCAAACAGGAUUAGAAACCCGGGUAGUCC